AAAUUGAAGAGUUUGAUCAUGGCUCAGAUUGAACGCUGGCGGCAGGCCUAACACAUGCAAGUCGAGCGGUAGCACAGAGAGCUUGCUCUCGGGUGACGAGCGGCGGACGGGUGAGUAAUGUCUGGGAAACUGCCUGAUGGAGGGGGAUAACUACUGGAAACGGUAGCUAAUACCGCAUAACGUCGCAAGACCAAAGUGGGGGACCUUCGGGCCUCAUGCCAUCAGAUGUGCCCAGAUGGGAUUAGCUAGUAGGUGGGGUAACGGCUCACCUAGGCGACGAUCCCUAGCUGGUCUGAGAGGAUGACCAGCCACACUGGAACUGAGACACGGUCCAGACUCCUACGGGAGGCAGCAGUGGGGAAUAUUGCACAAUGGGCGCAAGCCUGAUGCAGCCAUGCCGCGUGUGUGAAGAAGGCCUUCGGGUUGUAAAGCACUUUCAGCGGGGAGGAAGGCGUUAAGGUUAAUAACCUUGGCGAUUGACGUUACCCGCAGAAGAAGCACCGGCUAACUCCGUGCCAGCAGCCGCGGUAAUACGGAGGGUGCAAGCGUUAAUCGGAAUUACUGGGCGUAAAGCGCACGCAGGCGGUCUGUCAAGUCGGAUGUGAAAUCCCCGGGCUCAACUCGGGAACUGCAUUCGAAACUGGCAGGCUAGAGUCUUGUAGAGGGGGGUAGAAUUCCGGGUGUAGCGGUGAAAUGCGUAGAGAUCUGGAGGAAUACCGGUGGCGAAGGCGGCCCCCUGGACAAAGACUGACGCUCAGGUGCGAAAGCGUGGGGAGCAAACAGGAUUAGAUACCCCGGUAGUCCACGCCGUAAACGAUGUCGAUUUGGAGGUUGUGCCCUUGAGGCGUGGCUUCCGGAGCUAACGCGUUAAAUCGACCGCCUGGGAGUACGGCCGCAAGGUUAAAACUCAAAUGAAUUGACGGGGGCCCGCACAAGCGGUGGAGCAUGUGGUUUAAUUCGAUGCAACGCGAAGAACCUUACCUGGUCUUGACAUCCACAGAACUUAGCAGAGAUGCUUUGGUGCCUUCGGGAACUGUGAGACAGGUGCUGCAUGGCUGUCGUCAGCUCGUGUUGUGAAAUGUUGGGUUAAGUCCCGCAACGAGCGCAACCCUUAUCCUUUGUUGCCAGCGGUUCGGCCGGGAACUCAAAGGAGACUGCCAGUGAUAAACUGGAGGAAGGUGGGGAUGACGUCAAGUCAUCAUGGCCCUUACGACCAGGGCUACACACGUGCUACAAUGGCAUAUACAAAGAGAAGCGACCUCGCGAGAGCAAGCGGACCUCAUAAAGUAUGUCGUAGUCCGGAUUGGAGUCUGCAACUCGACUCCAUGAAGUCGGAAUCGCUAGUAAUCGUAGAUCAGAAUGCUACGGUGAAUACGUUCCCGGGCCUUGUACACACCGCCCGUCACACCAUGGGAGUGGGUUGCAAAAGAAGUAGGUAGCUUAACCUUCGGGAGGGCGCUUACCACUUUGUGAUUCAUGACUGGGGUGAAGUCGUAACAAGGUAACCGUAGGGGAACCUGCGGUUGGAUCACCUCCUUACCUUAAAGAA
rnacentral:rRNA from 1 species